UGGUGCUGGAGCAGGAGGGGAAUGCUAAUGAUGGGCAGGGAGCAGCAGAUGCAAUCUCCAGCGCUGUGCUCGCACAAAAGGCAAAUUCCCCGGCAUGAUGGCACAGGGCAUAGCUGUAGUGGAAGUACAGACCUUGCCUCUUUGGUUCUCCCUUUAUUUCCUAAUAUUUUACCCCAAACGGGCAGUUAUUGGUAGGAUUAAAACACAAUUAAGCGAACUGAAUGUAUUCAAACAUUUCCAACACGCAGCCCAUUGUUGCAAGAAACCCACAGAAGGAAAUCACCUUUUUUAUCUAUUAUGAACAAAUAUGACCACAGAUCACUUCUCUAAUGGUUAUCUAGUGGUGACUUUGAGUUAUCACAAUGAGUUGAUGCUAUGUUCUAUGACCAUCAGGAUCCUGUUUGUCAUUUCUAUAAAGAUGCCUUUGGGAAGCACAUUUCAGAAGCCCCCCUGGGUAUGUCACCAUUGCAGGUCUGCAGGUCCAGUAAUUCCAGCAGUGGUCACAAGCAGGCACUUUGCUUGGGAGAAGUGUUACACACAUGCUUCAUUCUCUGAAGGAAUUACAGGCAGCACCAGUGCCAUCCCUGCUGUUCUCUAUCUAGAAAGAGAGAAGAUGUCUUAAUCCGAUGGUGAACAUUAAAUCUGUUGAUAUAAAACAUGCCUGGUCGUUUUAAGCAUUACAAGAUUCAUGUCUUCAUUUCUUGCACAAAAUAUUCAUCAGUCUGGAGGACUGAUAAAGUCCUUAAAAAGAGCUGACAGAUUUCACAUACCAGGAAGAAGCUAAACUCGAAGAAGAGACAUAAAUCAUCUGUUCCUCCUUCCUGUGCACUUCUGAGAGUGGUUUUCAGUGCUCUGAUAGGAGAGAGGAAGAGCUCCUGGCAGAGCUGGGAAUACCUCUUGAUUAUAAAACCCAUGUGGAUCCAGGCAGGCUGAGAUGCUCUGGCUUGCAUCUUGUGUGAAAUGUAUAACUCCAGCAUUACAUGGGAAGUGAGAGAAUUGAGCCCUCAUGAAUGGGAGCUGCUGCCCCUCGGUACAGCAAAGUCGGAAAUGUCUCCCUGCUCAGCUGUGUUCGAUGCUGUUUUCUCCUCCAGAACUUCCCAGGCUCCAUGCUCAUAGCCUAACCGAGCAGGACAGGCUCUGAGCAUCCACCAUCCAUCAAUGCAAGAAGGAAACUGAACCCUGAAGUUAACACCAAUUCCCAUCAGGCCAACUUCUAAUUCCUCCCCAAUUAAGCCGGCAGAUGAAGGUGAAUGAAAACCAUGUUGUGAUCCAUCCAGCACUUCAAGGGGUCUUUGCUAAAUCAGGAGUAAGUACUUUAAUCUGUGCAAGGAGAUAUUUUUAAGCACAAAACUGUCUGGAAAGUCAAAUCCUUUAUGCAUCCCUCAGGCAGAUGGAAAAUGCUACAGAUCCCCCAGCAGAGAGGAAUGCAUUGAAAUCUCCUAUAGUCACUGACCACUAGCUACAGCAACAAAUAAUUUGCUGUCCAGUUAUGCUAACUUCCUGAAUUAUCCCAUGGCAGGCAGAGAGGAACAGGUUGAUUGUGCUUGGGGUUUCGUUUUGCACCCUGAAGGGCUCAAGCCUUUGUUUGGACAGUCAAUAUCAUGGAUUUGAUGCCUUUGUGCCUCUUUCCUAUCCCUAAAAAGAGGAAUUACCUGUGUCAUUUCUUCCUCCCAUACAAUCUACGUAAAUAGUGUAGUGAGCACGGUGGUGAUGGGUUGGUGUUUGGACUAGGUGACCUUAGUGGUCUUUUCCAGCCCCAAUGAUUCUUUGGUUCUCUGUUUCCUCGCAUCUUUGCCCAGACCCUGCUCUCACCUGGGAGCUCACAGUGAUUCCAUAAUCCUGCCUUCACCUCCCCAGGCCUCAGCCCCAUGUGAGCAAAAACUAUUACUUGUACUUAUUUGUGAUGCAUUUGCAAGGAAUCUUGUAGGCUUAUGCAAAAAUAAAAAGUUGG